AUUGAACGCUGGCGGCAGGCCUAACACAUGCAAGUCGAACGAGUGGCGGAAGGGUGAGUAAUGUCUGGGAAACUGCCCGAAGGAGGGGGAUAACUACUGGAAACGGUAGCUAAUACCGAAUACCCUCGGAUGUGCCCAGAGGGGAUUUGCGUGUAGGUGGGGUAAUGGCUCACCUAGGAGACGAUCCCUAGAUGGUCUGAGAGGAGGACCAGCCACACUGGAACUGAGACACGGUCCAGACUCCUACGGUGGGCAGCAGUGGGGAAUAUUGCACGAUGGGCGCAAGCCGGAUGCAGCCAUGCCGCGUGUAUGAAGAAGGCCUUCGGGUUGUAAAGUACUUUCAGCGAGGAGGCGUUACUCGCAGAAGAAGCACCGGCUAACGCCGUGCCAGCAGCCGCGGUAAUAC
rnacentral:rRNA from 1 species